CCUACGGGUGGCAGCAGUAGGGAAUAUUGCUCAAUGGGGGAAACCCUGAAGCAGCAACGCCGCGUGGAGGAUGAAGGUGUUCGGAUUGUAAACGCCUUUUGUUAGAGAAGAGAAGGACGGUAUCUAACGAAUAAGCACCGGCUAACACCGUGCCAGCAGCCGCGGUAAUACGGAGGGUGCAAGCGUUCCGCGGAAUCCCUGGGCGUAAAGAGCGCGGAGGCGGGAUAGCAAGUCAGAGGUGAAAUCCUAUGGCUUAACCAUAGAACUGCAUUUGAAACUGUUAUUCUAGAGUAUGUGAGAGGUAGGUGGAAUUCUUUGUGUCGGGUUCCACUCCG
rnacentral:rRNA from 1 species